UACGUAGGGGGCAAGCGUUAUCCGGAUUUACUGGGUGUAAAGGGAGCGUAGACGGAAUAGCAAGUCUGAUGUGAAAACCCGGGGCUCAACUCCGGGAGUGCAUUGGAAACUGUUGAUCUAGAGUGUUGGAGAGGCAAGCGGAAUUCCUAGUGUAGCGGUGAAAUGCGUAGAUAUUAGGAGGAACACCAGUGGCGAAGGCGGCUUGCUGGACGAUGACUGACGUUGAGGCUCGAAAGCGUGGGGAGCAAACAGG
rnacentral:rRNA from 1 species